rnacentral:rRNA from 1 species
GAUGAACGCUGGCGGCGUGCCUAAUACAUGCAAGUCGAGCGAACAGACGAGGAGCUUGCUCCUCUGACGUUAGCGGCGGACGGGUGAGUAACACGUGGAUAACCUACCUAUAAGACUGGGAUAACUUCGGGAAACCGGAGCUAAUACCGGAUAAUAUAUUGAACCGCAUGGUUCAAUAGUGAAAGACGGUUUUGCUGUCACUUAUAGAUGGAUCCGCGCCGCAUUAGCUAGUUGGUAAGGUAACGGCUUACCAAGGCAACGAUGCGUAGCCGACCUGAGAGGGUGAGCGGCCACACGGGAACGGAGACACGGUCCAGACUCCUACGGGAGGCAGCAGUAGGGAAUCUUCCGCAAUGGGCGAAAGCUUGACGGAGCAACGCCGCGUGAGUGAUGAAGGUCUUCGGAUCGUAAAACUCUGUUAUUAGGGAAGAACAAAUGUGUAAGUAACUAUGCACGUCUUGACGGUACCUAAUCAGAAAGCCACGGCUAACUACGUG